rnacentral:rRNA from 1 species
AUUGAACGCUGGCGGCAUGCUUUACACAUGCAAGUCGAACGGCAGCACAAACUUCGGUUUGGUGGCGAGUGGCGAACGGGUGAGUAAUGCAUCGGAACGUGUCCUGAAGUGGGGGAUAACGCAUCGAAAGAUGCGCUAAUACCGCAUAAUCUCUGAGGAGAAAAGUGGGGGAUCGAAAGACCUCAUGCUUUUGGAGCGGCCGAUGUCUGAUUAGCUAGUUGGUGGGGUAAUGGCCUACCAAGGCGACGAUCAGUAGUUGGUCUGAGAGGAUGGCCAGCCACACUGGGACUGAGACACGGCCCAGACUCCUACGGGAGGCAGCAGUGGGGAAUAUUGGACAAUGGGCGCAAGCCUGAUCCAGCAAUGCCGCGUGUGUGAAGAAGGCCUGCGGGUUGUAAAGCACUUUCAGUGGGGAAGGAACAGAUUCGGGUCAAUACCCCGGAGCCCUGACGUUACCCACAGAAGAAGCACCGGCUAACUCCG